UGCAGUCGAACGAACUUCCGUUAAUUGAUUAUGACGUGCUUGCACUGAAUGAGAUUUUAACACGAAGUGAGUGGCGGACGGGUGAGUAACACGUGGGUAACCUGCCCAGAAGCAGGGGAUAACACCUGGAAACAGAUGCUAAUACCGUAUAACAGAGAAAACCGCCUGGUUUUCUUUUAAAAGAUGGCUCUGCUAUCACUUCUGGAUGGACCCGCGGCGCAUUAGCUAGUUGGUGAGGUAACGGCUCACCAAGGCGAUGAUGCGUAGCCGACCUGAGAGGGUAAUCGGCCACAUUGGGACUGAGACACGGCCCAGACUCCUACGGGAGGCAGCAGUAGGGAAUCUUCCACAAUGGACGCAAGUCUGAUGGAGCAACGCCGCGUGAGUGAAGAAGGGUUUCGGCUCGUAAAGCUCUGUUGUUAAAGAAGAACGUGGGUGAGAGUAACUGUUCACCCAGUGACGGUAUUUAACCAGAAAGCCACGGCUAACUACGUGCCAGCAGCCGCGGUAAUACGUAGGUGGCAAGCGUUAUCCGGAUUUAUUGGGCGUAAAGCGAGCGCAGGCGGUCUUUUAAGUCUAAUGUGAAAGCCUUCGGCUCAACCGAAGAAGUGCAUUGGAAACUGGGAGACUUGAGUGCAGAAGAGGAUAGUGGAACUCCAUGUGUAGCGGUGAAAUGCGUAGAUAUAUGGAAGAACACCAGUGGCGAAAGCGGCUGUCUGGUCUGUAACUGACGCUGAGGCUCGAAAGCAUGGGUAGCGAA
rnacentral:rRNA from 1 species